rnacentral:rRNA from 1 species
UAGAGAAGCUUGCUUUUUCUAGGCGUCGACCGGCGCACGGGUGAGUAACGCGUAUCCAUCCUGCCCACCACUUGGGGAUAACCUUGCGAAAGUAAGACUUAUACCCAAUGACGUCUCUAGAAGACAUCUGAAAGGGAUUAAAGAUUUAUCGGUGAUGGAUGGGGAUGCGUCUGAUUAGCUUGUUGGCGGGGUAACGGCCCACCAAGGCAACGAUCAGUAGGGGUUCUGAGAGGAAGGUCCCCCACAUUGGAACUGAGACACGGUCCAAACUCCUACGGGAGGCAGCAGUGAGGAAUAUUGGUCAAUGGACGAGAGUCUGAACCAGCCAAGUAGCGUGCAGGAAGACGGCCCUAUGGGUUGUAAACUGCUUUUAUAAGGGAAUAAAGUGAGUCUCGUGAGACUUUUUGCAUGUACCUUAUGAAUAAGGACCGGCUAAUUCCGUGCCAGCAGCCGCGGUAAUACGGAAGGUCCGGGCGUUAUCCGGAUUUAUUGGGUUUAAAGGGAGCGUAGGCCGGAGAUUAAGCGUGUUGUGAAAUGUAGAUGCUCAACAUCUGAACUGCAGCGCGAACUGGUUUCCUUGAGUACGCACAAAGUGGGCGGAAUUCGUGGUGUAGCGGUGAAAUGCUUAGAUAUCACGAAGAACUCCGAUUG